CCUUUCCUGUGGCUCAGACAGUAGAGCAUUGCACUAUCAAUGCAAGGGUCUUGGGAUCUAACCCCAGGGAAAGCA